GGCGGCAGGCCUAACACAUGCAAGUCGAGCGGUAACAUUUCUAGCUUGCUAGAAGAUGACGAGCGGCGGACGGGUGAGUAACGCGCAGAAAUCUACCUAGUAGUGGGGGAUAGCCCAGAGAAAUUUGGAUUAAUACCGCAUACGCCCUACGGGGGAAANCCGGGGGAUCUUCGGACCUCGUGCUAUUAGAUGAGUCUGCGUCGGAUUAGCUUGUUGGUGAGGUAAUGGCUCACCAAGGCGACGAUCCGUAGCUGGUCUGAGAGGAUGACCAGCCACACUGGAACUGAGACACGGUCCAGACUCCUACGGGAGGCAGCAGUGGGGAAUAUUGCACAAUGGGCGCAAGCCUGAUGCAGCCAUGCCGCGUGUGUGAAGAAGGCCUUAGGGUUGUAAAGCACUUUCAGCAGUGAGGAAAGGGGUGUCGUUAAUAGCGCCAUCCUGUGACGUUAACUGCAGAAGAAGGACCGGCUAACUCCGUG
rnacentral:rRNA from 1 species